rnacentral:rRNA from 1 species
CCGGAAUGGCUUAUGGUCUAAACAGUUUACUGCCAUGGGAUGGGACUGCGGCCUAUCAGCUUGUUGGUGAGGUAAUGGCCCACCAAACCUGUAACCGGUACGGGCUCUGAGAGGAGGAGCCCGGAGAUGGGCACUGAGACAAGGGCCCAGGCCCUAUGGGGCGCAGCAGGCGCGAAACCUCUGCAAUAGGCGAAAGCCUGACAGGGUUACUCUGAGUGACUUUCGCUAAGAAAGUCUUUUGGCACCUCUAAAAAGGGUGCAGAAUAAGGGGUGGGCAAGUCUGGUGUCAGCCGCCGCGGUAAUACCAGCACCCCGAGUGGUCGGGACGAUUAUUGGGCCUAAAGCAUCCGUGGCCGGUUCUGCAAGUCCCCCGUUAAAUCCAGCUGCUCAACAGAUGGGCCGCGGAGGAUACUACAGAGCUAGGAGGCAGGAGAGGCAAGCGGUACUCAGUGGGUAGGGGUAAAAUCCGUUGAUCCAUUGAAGACCACCAGUGGCGAAGGCGGCUUGCCAGAAUGCGCUCGACGGCGAGGGAUGAAAGCUGGGGGAGCAAACCGGAUUAGAUACCCGGGUAGUCCCAGCCGUAAACGAUGCAGACCCGGUGAUGGGUUGGCUUCGCGCUAACCCAGUGCCGCAGGGAAGCCGUUAAGUCUGCCGCCUGGGUAGUACGGUCGCAAGACUGAAACUUAAAGGAAUUGGCGGGGGAGCACCACAAGGGGUGAAGCCUGCGGUUCAAUUGGACUCAACGCCGGU